GAAGUUUUAGUUAAAAAAUAACAUUAUUUUGUCAAAAUAAAAUUAUCUACUAAAGAUAAAUUUCU
rnacentral:tRNA from 1 species